UCACUAUAGGCUUAGGAAAGCUGUUCUAAACUGUUUGUGGCUCCAUCAAUCCUAAGAGAAAAAAGAGCAUGAGGGGAAUGCAAAGAGAAAAGGAGAGACAGGCCCCACAUUGGGGGUGAGUGGGGGUGUUGAGGAGACAGAAGCAAAGGGAGCAGAUUAAUUGAAGGGGGAGGGGGAAGCCAAUGACCCUGUGCUUUUCUCUGAAAAGCUUUGGUUUUGGUUUUGGUUUUUCCCAGAGUGCUAGGAUUGCAGGCAUGAGCCAUCACCAACCCUAACCCUAACCCUAACCCUAACCCUAACCCUAACCCUGAUCACACUCCUAUUUGAAUGCCACUCCCUUGGUGCCUACCUCUUUAGGGUUCCUCUCAAAGUCCAGAUUUAGCCAACCACGGCAAACUUAUUCUAGGCAGUUACUCCACUCCCAACUCCAACCCCCUACCCCACAUCCCGAAGCUGUUCUAACCUGGUCUGGGAGAACCCAGUUCCUGGACAAAGCAUCCCCUCCCCCACAGAUGCUCCAGUCUAAGUGGGGCCUAGUGGCCUGCAGGGCCAGAGACACCAUUCGAUCCAAGUAACCCACUGCCCUUCCCCCAAAUUGCUCCAAAUGCAAUUUUUAGUUUUUGCAUUUACAUUUAGCCUGAUUCAUCCAGCCUCAGGUUCCCAGAGGACCCUGACCUAAAAACCUCAAGUGCAGGUACACCCCGGGUACCAGUUAGGUGACCAUUCACACUGCACUUUCGAUGGCCUGCCUGACCCACUACCCCUUAAACCACCUGCCGUCCUGCGCUCUAGUCCGGCUCCAACGUAGCUCUCUGAAGGACUUCUGAUCUUAACUCCCUUUGAAAACCUUCUCAUCUCUUCCUGUAGGGUAUCUCUCCUUUCCCUAGUCUCCUUGGGGUACUGGAGACUGCAGGAAGGUUGUAGGUUAUAGAGCCAGAAGGGGGAGGGAAAGUUGCAUACACCCUAGAAAAAUGGGUCUCUGAGUCAAACUAGAUUAGAAACAAUAGUAAAGGCACUGUGAGUGUUCCAUCUUGCACCUCUCCUAAAUUAAAAUCAGUAGAGGGAUCCCAGAAAAGGCUGGGCCUUAUCCCACCUACAUCCCAGCACUGCCAGAAACUCUCUGGGGGUCCUCUCCCUUUCUGUGGAUCUGUUCCUGGGGAAGUCCAAGGGUCCCUAAGGCCUAUUGGGACGAAAAGGUUUGGGAUUAUUAGGUUCUUUGGAUGUACUUAGUCCAGACCCUGGAGCUAGCAAUACCGCACCACCCCUUACCUAAAACCUCAAACCCCAACUCUGUUUUCCCUCCCCACCAAGCACUUGGGAAAAAAAAAAACUUUUUGAAGUUCCUUCAAGUUGCAUUUGGGGAAAAGAAUCCCCUGCAGACUCUAGGUCUCUUUGCCCCAAUUUUCACUUUUCUUCCCUCGUCUCAGAAGCAUCCCUACUCUUCCCACCCCUGCCAGCUGCCACCCUAGUGCCCAAACUCAAGAAGGAGAAGAUGUCCUAAGCCCAAAACUUAUGGCUGCCCACCCCCAGCCCAGAUCCCUCGAAGGGCUGAAGACGCGCGGGUCAGAGUUCGCCUGCAAAGAAAGCAGGGUGGAGAAAGGGGAAGAGAGAGAGAACCAGAGCCGCAAAUUUCCAGACUGAAGCUUCGCGCUCCAGGCCCCGCUCACCUGCUCUGGACAGGCUCCAAUAGAUUUUCGUCCACUCAAAAGUUUGUCCCCUUCGCAAAGGAUUUCCAGGAGAGGCCCACAUUUGACUCUGGGGGUGGGGGUGAGGAGCCGGGGAGGGCGCAGACGCCUGAUCUAAAGCGACCGGGGGAAGCGGGACGCGUGUGACCGUCCCCAAAGUAAGGGCGAAGCGGCGAUCCACAGAGCAUCCGAGAGCCCCCUUGGUUGCUAGCCCCGGGACGUUCCCGGGAGGUCCCCAGACUACAGAGUGCUAACGCAGGGGUGGAGAACACCGGGCAGCUGAAAGGAAGGAUAGAAAGGAUUCUGUCGACGUCGGUGGUGUCCUCCAAUUUCUGCCCCGGCGGGUGUGCCCCAGCCCACAACAUUCUCUGGACCCCUUCUGGGCAGCGCUCAGGACCCCCACUUGUCGGAAAGGGAGGAUGAGGGUCCCCUUAGCCCCACCUCCCGCGCUAUUACACCCCCCCCCCCUCCGGAGCCGAGGGACAGACAGAGAAUUGCAACUAGAAAUUCGAUCUAUUGGUACGAGACACCACGUGCUCGCGGGCUGGCCAAUGACCAGGCCGCCCCGGAUGAGCUAAUAAUGGAAGCAAUUUGUAACUUUCAGUAGCUCUCUAGGCCUAGGUACCGGUGGGAGGGAGGCUGGCGGAGGGGGAGACAGCACCCCCCAGUUUUUUUGCCCAGCCUGUUUGUCUAGGGAAACUCGGAUCCCCGGGCCCUCCUUUUUCUUUACAGCAGUGUUCUUCGUUCCACUCCUGACCGACAGCACAGCCAGAGUCAAUAGCUUCUGGGCUCAGGCAUGGAAGAUAGAAGGGAAUUUCAGUGCAAAGUGCCUGGAACAACUCAAGUCUCAUCAUGCUACAUGAAAGCUGCUAUGGACAAUGUUGCCCUUUGGGUGAGCAAGGUGAGAAUAAGCAGGUUGAGAAGGCUCCCCACAGCUAUAUAAGGAGCUGCACAUUGAAAGUUGAGUUCUAAUCUUUUUUCCUUUAUUAUAGAAAAAAAUAUAUAUACAAGAUGGUUAGAUGCUUAAACUAUAGUAGCCAUGAAGACUUUUCUUUUGGGUUUUGAGACAGGAUCUCUUGCAGCCCAAGCUGGCCUAAAACUUGCAAUGAAACAAUCAAAGGGUGACCUUGAACUUCUGGUUCACCUGACUCUGCUUCUCAAGUGCUGGGCUUACAGGUAGGAGCCACCAUGACUAGUCUAUAGAAACAUAGCUUAAUGUCUUCCUGUGCUGUACUUCUGAAGGAGGCAGUAAAAGAAUUCAACCUGAAAGGAAAGGCAGUACACAUGUAAAGUCAGGUGGAGGAUGGGGCCAGAUCACUACAGCAGAUGGAGUGGCAUGUGGGUGGGUGGGUGGGAGAUAGUAUUCUGAUAUUCCAUCUGAGAAGAUUUCCCAGAGGAGGUAACUAUAGGUUAGGAUUCCAGUGGAUGUGAAAGAUAAUAGGAAUAGAAAAAUAUAGGGAAGAAGUUAUACAUUGAUGAGAAAGAGGAAGAAUCAUGCCAAGGCCGGCUAAGAGUAGGGAGAUAAAGCAUAAUUGUCUUGCUGACACCAAAUCAAAGUAAUCACCACUCACUGAAGGCAUACUGUGUGCAAGGCACAUAAGAUUGUGCAAGGUACAUAAGAAUCACUACUCACUGAGGGGUUAGCAGUGGGCAAGACUAUGUGAGGGAGUUGCGGUCAGACAGUGGAGACAGGAACUGUUCUCAUAUCUACAUGAAGAAGGAUGAAGGAAUGCUCUAUGGACAGAGCUGCUAAGUUACUCUUCUGGGACUGCUGUUUGUGGAUGAAUCACAGGGCCCUGACUGGGCUGCAACACUUCCAGGUGAUGGUUUUAAUGGCUUUCCCCUGGGGACAUCCAGUGAGGAUUUGAGUCCUCAGUAAAGAGUGUCAGUUGUCACAGAAGUCUUAUUCUCUUUUUGUAUGACUGCAGGGCCUUCUAUUCCAACACCUCUUCCAGCGACCUGGUCAGGUGUGGCCAAUGGAAGCAAGAGCCCAGUGAAGUCGCCUAAGUCCGAGGGCAUGGUGUAACUCACACGGAGCACAACCCUACUUGGAAUGGACCAUUCGUGGCUUUAGAAUCUUGAUGGACACGAGCAACUGUCGGCACAAUCUAUUUAAGAGUAUUCUGAGCCCUCAGAGAGCAGCCUUCUGCCCACAGGUGACCAAAUCCUUAUCCUCAAUAACCCUUCUAACUGAGCAGCCAACGAGCUGCCCUCUACCUAUUCAGGACAGCCUAGGAAUGGCUUCAUGCAGUAGGUGGCCUUCUGUGAUUGGCUCCUUUUCCUUGGUUCUUAUGCGUUGCUGUGUCAAAGCACGCAUCCAUUCUCCUUCCUUCUCAUGGAUGAGUUACUUCAACGGUAGACAGACCACCUUCCAGGUAUGUGUUCAUCAGUACAUGGGCAUUUAGGUUGUUCCCAUGUCCAGAAAUUAUGAUUUUCUAUGUCUCUAGACAGUUUGAAUCAUCUAGAGUGAGCUCUGCAGCCAGGAACAGGCCUGACUUAUGUGUGGGAACCUCCAGUGUCCAUGGAAGCCAGGCUUUUGCACCUGGUCCAGGUGCUUCUCCCCUGGUUACAUUGCUGAGGAUGGCCAUUGACCCAGCAGCUCUCUAUUUGUCCCCUUGCUGUCCUCAGACCCCUCUCCUGCAGCUUCAGAGUCUGAGUGGAGAAACAGGAAUACUUCCCCAAGAUUGGCCCCAUGUAAUCCUCUAUGUGUGCUACUGGUAAAUGGAAACCUUCGGGCCAAGGGAAAGUCAAGUUCUUGAGGGUGUGUCUGCUUCAGAGUCCAGGUCUCCUUCCCAUGUCCCACCUCACUUCUCUCAGUCUACUCUUUCUUCUGCUGACACCAGAAACUGCCCUACCUGCAUCAAUCCUAACAUACCAGUGGGACCAGCAGGAUGCAUACAAGAAGUCCAAAUAGUGCCAGGUUGCAUUUGUUGAAUGAGUGGAUGAGGGAUGAUUCCAUACUCUGGAAAUAAACUGUGGAGAAGGUCAGUUAUAAAUCUCUAUCUAUUACUACCCCUUUCCUAGUCUGGAAAUCAGCAUUUUCCUCACAAAGGUGGGUGAAGAAAGCACAAAAUGCUACCUCUAUAAUAGCUGCUAUUUAUUGGACCGGCAUUUAUAUGUCUGAUUGGUUUCAUAUCUCUCUCUCUCUCUCUCUCUCUCUCUCUCUCUCUCUCUCCCUCUCUCAGGCAAAGUUUCACAUAGCCCAGGCUGACCUGGAAUUUUCACAAUGUGACCGAGAAUAACCUUGAGCUUUUGAUCCUCCUGUUUCUAAUCCCAAGUGCUGGGAUCACAGGUGUGUGCGGAGACACUUGAUUUACUUGGUGCUGGGAAUAAAACCCAAGGCUUCUUGCACACUAUUCUACCGACUUCGCCAACAUGCUUUUCACCUCCUGAGCAAGUAUAAUAAAACUCAUUUUAAUUUCUCUC